AUCCACCAAUACACACACACACACACACACACACACACACACACACACCCUCUGAGACAACUAUUUUUCUGGUAAACAUUCUGAGAAAAUUCAGGAAAUCACAAAGUGAUGCAACAAUAGAUCAGAUCGGUGACAAUUUUUUGUGUUCACAGAUGUCGGAGCCACAUCCAGUCUGCCUGUUUAACUGAAAUGAUAACAAAGGAAACAAAAGGUUCAUCUGGCCAAGUGAGCUGUUUAUGGCUGCAGGAACUGCAUCGGCUGCAUCUACUGUUUACAGUGUGGUAGUUGUGACAGAGGACAGUUGUAGCUCUCCCGAUUGUUGUAACAUUGAAGUUGUAAAAUGCAGUUUCACAAUGCACACUGUUACAAACCUGUGUGCAUUUUGUUCUUGGGUAUGAACAAAAAGAAAAAUCCAAUUUCAUCAUCCCGCCUGAAUGCUUACCUGUAAUUCCACGCAGCCAAAGCAAAGCUAUCCGUUCUUUUAAACGUUUAGUUUAUUACAAGCAGUAACAAAGAGACAUUGGACAUGGAUGGCAGAUAGUUUGGGAACGUCUUUUGCUUGGAACCAUUCCUCUUUCCAGUAUUGAUGCACGGCAUGGCUAGUCCAGUUGGGAGCCAACUCCCAGUGUUGCUGGUGCUUACGGGCCCGGACCUGCAUCAUUAUCACAGCACUGAGCAUUGGCAGUCAGGCCACACUCGCCCCUCUCUUACCCCGGUGAUAAACUACUGACUGGACUCCGGGCGGAUAGGUUUUUCAGCAUGCCUCAGCGCCAAAAAGCACAUCAAUUAUUCAACCUCACAGUGGCCUAUUGUAAUUACUCUGCCAGCCAUCACCACCGUAAGUCAAUGAAAUAAGCAACGAGAUGCAAAAGCCGUACUCCUGCGGCAUAGCCAAGUGCAACCGGAUUAGUUUGUCCUUGUAUCCAGAAGGACACUGAGCCAGUGAGACAAAGCGAAGCGAAGUAAACAUGCACACCUCAGAAUGACAUUAUUGAAAUAUGCAACGCACGUCCGGUAUAUUUUGCUGCUGCUUUUUGUUUCUGGACGUCACUCUUUAAUGACUUGUGGGAGAUCCUGGCGCUCGUAAAGAGUGCAGGUCACGAAACACGUCGAGAGAGUCGUGGAAAGCAGGUGAUCAGAAGUCAUCAUCUGGCAGACAGAGUAAUGGAGCCGACAUGGACACGGAAAACACAGACUCACGGACAAAUUGGCAAAAACCGCACGCUGAAUCAGAGUUCAGAAUACUAAUCAAUGUCUCCCCGUUUACAUUUCACAUGACCGUCUCCUUGCCUUCACUCUCACAAAGCCCCUGUAAUCGCCGCAGAAUAUAGAUUGGUUGUUCAUCAGUCUGCGCACGAGCAACAAUCAUACGAGAUAGCGGGCAGGGAGUGAGGGGUAGGGAGGACAGUGAGAGGGGGGGGGGGAGAGAAAGUGACACACAGUACGGCACACGGGGACACGCAGCCUCACCGCCGUAGUUUUAGCCAAUGCUCACCCCUGAGGAAAGAUGGGGGGAAGACGGAAGAAAAAGAGGUGACUUACUUCUAUGGUCCUAUGAUUCUUCGUGAGCCUUAUCGAGAGACGUAAGAGCGUCCACUGACACAGAUGGAGAGACGGCGAGGGAGAAACAGUUGGCGAGGAAGAGGAGAUGAGGAGGGAGACCGGAGGGCUUGACUCGGAGUGCUGCUUUUGCUGUGUUGCACACUGUAAAAUUGUGCGUGUGUGUGUGUGUGUGUGUGUGUGUGUGUGUGUUGAGGCUCUCCAAGGGGCUCUGUGCAGAUACACUUAACCAAGUUGCUCCUGAACCUUUUGUUCACUCGUUUCGUCGCCUGCAUUUUUACCACGGGCGCACGUGCGAACUCGUGCCAUUUGAUUGCAAGUUGCCGUAUCACACAGCUUUGAGGGUUUGGCACCACUCAGAUGAAGGCAUACCCCCCCCCCCCCCUCCCUAAAUACUGAUUCAUAGGCAAAUAAUGAAAGCAUCUCUGCCCAGACCAGGCACGGAGUAGUGGUGUUUUGAAGAGAUAAGGAAAAUGGGCUCCAUUCACAGCAGUAGGAGACUGAGACAAAUUGAUCCCCUCAUUCUCUCAGUCAGUUGUUGUAAGUGAGAAUAAUGCCGAGAGCUGUCACUUGAGCGUGUGAAGAUACUCACUAAUAUCCACACAUUAUAACUACAGAUAAUUCACGUUGUUUUUUUUUUUUUUUGUCUUUUUCCGUGAAGUCAAAUGAAGCCUCCUGCCCUCUGAGACACACAUAGAAAUGUUUCGAGGAGCGGAGGCUUUUGCAGCAUGCAAUUAGCCCGAUGUGGGGGUUAUUGUUGUCGAAAGCGCGAGGAGGCCAUAGAAAUCGCGAGCACAAUGAUGGCAGGUGUGGAAUUAGCGACGUCUCCCCACCGCCGUUGUCGAGGCACUUGCAGAACAACCCUCUCUCAAGUUUGGAGCGAAUCUUUAGCAGCCCAGUGAAAGAAACUUUGGAAAACAAAGACGUCAGCUGUGACUGCAGCUUGGCACGAACAUCGAUGUAUUGAAUAUUAAGCGAGCAUGGCUUGAGUUUGCAGACUUGUUCUUCCAUGACAGAAUGUCAGAAUCACCUUUGUUUUUUUAAAGCACCUUAAAAAAAAACGCUGACCGUAAUCUGUCAUGUCAAAGCCUAAAAAUCGGCCUCUCCCUUUUCACCCGUGCUUUCGUUUUGCGCCAGGAAUAGGCAACCCCAUCUCCUGCCACAACAAUAACAACCCGCUUUCACAAAAGCAGGAUGCAUCUGAUAGCUCUGGCAAGGCUUUCUUUUUACAAACUCUCCGUCUCUGGGCUGCGGUCCACUAAAGCAUGGACACUGCCCUGUAACAAGACGGAUAUUUCCCUCUGGGGUUUUGGGAUUUAUUGCCUGUAGCAUUUAUGGAGAGGUCCCAGUUGGAGAUGACAGCAAAUGCACACAUACACACACAUACACGGAGGGGUUAGAAAUGCUAAUUUAGACACACAUAGGGGGGGUAUAAAUCCAGUCCUCAUUGUGAAUUCAGCACGUUGGCUGUAUUGUGCAGUGGUGAGCCCCUUUAUUCAAUUGAGCUGCCAUCCAUCGUGGAUGUGGCAUUGAGCAGGCACGUACCGGGAGCCCCCACAGGAGCAUUAGACUCACUCAAACACACAGGGACUGUUUGCAUACAUAUAAACAGACAGCGUAGAGAUGCAAAGACCCAUUAGGACUGUAAUGGCCUGAUGCAACUCUCUGUAGGGUCAUUAUUGUCCGCUGAGGAAUUCAAAAAGAUAUCGCCUUCAGAAGGCCGGGCGUCUCUGAGCACGGGUCGCUGUCUCUCCAAAGAUAUCGGCGCGUGAUUGUAUGCGACUAUGCACACUACUGCAUCCUCGAGUAUGCACUCGCUGCCACGCUGCCACGUAAUAAAGCCCCCGUGGGUUUUCAAAUGCAGGAGCGAAGACAAAAGGAUGUUACCGUAUGUUCACACUCUAAAGUGUUGUUAACCACUGAAGAAGGUUUCCAGAUUAAGUAAAGAGCAUCGCCAGGGACCAGCAACCUCGCCAGGAUGUUCUUCUUGUUAAAACAUCCAAGGGAAGUCUGAACUCUCAAACAGAGCACGCUUCAUUUAAUAAGUUGAAUGAAUGCUCAGUUGUGAAUUCAUUCAACUCAUAAUUUUUAUGUCAAAAGACAGGUGAACACAUAAUAUAUUUAAAACUUAAAGGAGCAAGAGUAUAAAUACAUAUUAAAUCUAAAUGUUUUAAUAAUGUUGCUUAGAAUCCCUAUUGUUAAAUUAUUAGUCAGAGUAGUACAAGUAGAAGUAUCAUAUUUAGUAACAGCAGUAAAAACAAAUCAGUUGCUUUUUACCUCCGGCAGCCACAGUUGUUUGAAAUAGUUGCGUGUGCUGCAGCCACGAGGAUCCCUACUGAGCCCGUGAGAAAAGAUGGCCCAUCAACACCGUACGAUCCCACUGAUGGAUGUUGGGAACUAUAAUUGUAAUGAUUGGUGUGAGGAGCACAGACGAGAGGUGUUUAGCCUACGAGGUGAGCCGUGGCCCAGUCGCUACGAGGUGAGCCGUGGCCCAGUCGCUACGAGGUGAGCCGAGGCCCCGUCGCUACGAGGUGAGCCGUGGCCCAGUCGCUACGAGGUGAGCCGUGGCCCCGUCGCUACGAGGUGAGCCGUGGCCCAGUCGCUACGAGGUGAGCCGUGGCCCAGUCGCUACGAGGUGAGCCGUGGCGAGCCGUGGCCCCCGGCCCUUGUUGUCACGAAGUGGAGUUACAGGCCUCCAACAGCAAUCUGCACACAAUGCAAUGCCAAGGCACAGCGAGCAAUCUUUCCUCAGCCGCUACAGGUUCCACAUCCAGCUUCUCUCGCUCUCCUCUGAACCCCUUUAGUUCAUUAACACCCACUCUUCAUUUAUAGAGGAAAACACAUACGAGUUUGGAGCUUUGGGGCAACUUUUAACAACGUUCGCCAAUGCGUGAGUUGAAUCUAGUCAUUUUCUAACUCAACACCCAAUCUUUAACAUCUUCAAACUGAUCAUGCCCUCUCCCCCCACAUCUUUGCAGCUUUUCUUUCUAUCGCUGUUAUCGAAAAAUCAAGAUUUGCGUUGGUUUAUCUCAAGAGAGACAGAAUGACUUUAACUGGACACGUCUUUUUAAGUCAAAACAAUGCCUGCAUCAAAAAGACAGCAGUUCUACACAAACCCAGUACGGCGGUUUCUCACAUAUAACGCAGCCCGCUCUCUAACAGAAGAGACCCAUAGCGCCAUUAGCAUGUUUAACACGGUUACCGCGUGUGAGUGGCAGCGAGGCAUCAUUGCUCAUAUGACAUUCAUUGUGCUGCUGCCUGCUGGUGCAGAAUGCUGACAUGCAAUGACUGGCAAAAGUCAGCAGGAGCCCUGCUGUCCCUCACCCUCCUGCUGGGGAGGCCUGUGUGUACACCCGGGAGGGGAGUGGUGGAGGGAGGGUGAGCAGGAGGAGACAGACGGAGAGAGAGAGAGAGAGAGAGAGAGGGAGAACCUCUUUAGAGCGAAUGGAGCAUCAGGCCAUAUCCAUCUCCUCCGUUUCCUUAUGAAUAUGUAAACCAGAGAAGUCAAUAGGCAUCGACCAUUCUCCUCCCCCAAGAGGAGGAGAGGAGAGAAAUGAGCGCUCCCCUCUGAUGCUUUCAUCCAAUAAUGGUGGAUCUCUCUGUGGCACGUUAUAGAUACCUCCGUGUGUGUGUGUGUGUGUGUGUGUAAGUGCUUCAAAGUAUGUGUGUGGGCUACAAAUGGGAGAGCCUGGUAGCCAUUUAUUGAAAACAAUUGUCGCCUGAAAAUUGCCUUUUCGAUAACGUGCAUCUGUCUUUGGGUCGUGUCACAUUAUGGAAAUGGAGGAAAUGUAAGGAGCCUUUGACGUUUCUUGUCCUUUUCUGGGGGCAAAUGUGGUCAGGGUUUCUCUGCUGUUGUGAUGUGGGGACUUGAAAGCCUUAAUAUCCUGAUGCUUGGGCCAAAACCACUCCCUCUCCCCUCGUGCUGCCCUCGGCUGCAUGUGUGUGCGUGUGUGUCUUUGAGUGAAACAUUGGCACGGCAUCAGUGACAGAACAUACCUCACCGCAAGUGCGUUUGAUGGUCCGAGACGAGAAGGAAGCAUUUGGUUUAGAUCAUUCUCAGAGUGUUACUCACACACACACAUACACACACACACACACACGUCCCAGCGAGCCGGAUUAAAGCGAGAGGUCAAGUCAGGAGCAUUCUCCGUCGCUGUUAUCACCAUCGCCGCCACAUCGUCUAUUGAUCCCCCCCGGAUCACUGAUCGGUCUGCUCACGGUUUUCAGACAUCCCCAUUAGGUCCGUCGGAGCGGUGGUCAGCUGCGCUUUAUGCAAUUCUUUAUACCACCAGUUAUUAAGUAUUGAUCGGCCUUCCUGGCUGUGGGAACUUCCUGUGCUUGACUUUGUGCAGACUCUUGAUAUAGAACAAUGUGAUCAAUGUUUUCCUUCAUACGACGAUGAGGGGAUUUGAAUAGCAGUAGAAUAUAAAAUAAAUAUAAGUAUCAGAGUGUAGCUACAUGAAGUUACAGGGGCUUUAUGUAAAUAUCACUCUGAUGAUUUCUUCAGGUUUGAGGCAUUUCAUUGGUUACAAUUUUCCGUGAAUCCCAGUAUGGAGACGGAUAAUCCAAAAAUGAAGACAGAAACUGUGCGCGUGGAAUUAGCACUGCAUCUAAAUGACAUAUUUUGUAACUGAAAGAUAAAAUUAAACUAAUGGUACAGUGUUACAAAACUGUAAAUCUUCACUGUGAAUAUUCAUCUAAAUAUUUCCAAUACAUCGGAGAAAGCUCCCAAUUAUAGAAAAAUAUGAUUAAUAUGAUGACUGCUAUUCUUCCUCACUAAUUGUGCAGCUGUAAUUAAUCACUCAUACUUCUCAUUCAUGCUAUUAACAUAAUAUUUGUACACUCAAUAGUUGCCAUUCACACACAGGCAGUAACUUUAUAUUAGUUAAAAAUAUUGUAUGUAUAUCCAUGUUUCAUCUUCACUAUCCCCAUAAUCUGUUGUUGCAAAUCCCUCAAAUCAUUGAAGUGUCAUAUCUCAUCAAGCUAAUGGAAACGCUGGAGCAGAAGUGGCCUUUGAGCAAUCUCAAAGCUCCUUGCUACCAAUAAAGGGGGGGGGGGGGGGAUCAGUAGCUCCCCCUGCUAUAGUUACCUCUAUACCAACCACUGUGACGUCUGCUGUCCCCUUCUCUUCCCGUGGAGGUCAAAAAACACAUUUCAUUAUUUCCCUCUCAUCCUUUAAUCCUCUCCUGCCUGACGUAAGCACUCGGCUGCAGAGUGCACACUCGCUGCGAAUGGUCAACAAAGAGUUUUUCUUGGGGUCAUAAAUGUGUGUGUGUGUGUGUGUGUGGAGGGAGCGGGGUGCCGAUGGCUGACAGGAAAUGCAGAGUAGGAGGAAGAUGCAUGAAGAACGAGAGAGAGAGAGAGAGAGGGGGAAUUUAUGGCAACAUUGUCACCGCAAUCCCUUGUCAUCCGAGGUUUACACGAGGAUUACAGCUCAAGGCCCAAUUAUUACCUGGGAGGCUGCAGGAGAAGCGCAAUGUCAAAACUCGCGUCGGCAAACCCGAACGCCACGUGAAGAGCGCGCAGCGACUCGAGCCACAGCGGGUCAGCGUAUGGUCAAAGCGCCGGGCGAGCCGGCGGCGUGUCAGGCGGCGUUAAGCUGAGGACCAGCCAGCUCCAUCGCACCUGUCAGCGCCUCCAGACGGCUGCCAGUCACAAACACGCCGCAAUCCUCCCACGUGAUUGUGUUCGUCUUUGUGUGCGAGUGUGUGUAUAGCUGACAAGCGUCUGUGCAUGGCGUGCGCACUAACAGGCGACCUUUGUCUCCCCCCCCCCCCCCACACUCCCCCCAUACCCCCCACUGACGGUGUUAUUUCUGUGCUUUGACACCUCAUGAAACGUAAAUUGGAUUGUAAGAAAUUUCAUAGAGCCACGGUUGGAGGAGAAGUGGGCGUCAGUAGGAAGGAUCCUCUUUUAAAUCCCGGUGUUCGGGGGCCGCGGCGGCUCAAGGGUAAUGUAUGCAGCAUCAUGGCCAGCCUGGACCCAUGCAGAGAGAGGGGUCGUCGCCACGGCAGCGUCGCCAACAGAACAUUGGGCUGUUCUCUGUCAGACAGACACAGUAUUAUUCGCUAAGUGUAUUCAUCCUUUGUUCCCAUUGUCUCAUCCUGGCAAUCAGCUAAUCACCACUAAUCAAAUAAUCAAGACUUUGCACGUAUUUAAUCAGGCAAUUGCGCAUCAUAAAAUCCAAGGAAACUCUCACAAAACAGAAUCCACGGCUGUGCUUUUAUUUUUCAAUAAGCAAAACGAUCUCCUUAAAAAAGAAAAAUAAAUGAACCAAAGGGUGCCAACAACAACAAAUCUGUGCAGUUCAAAACACACUUUCUGAAGCUGUGUCAACGACAAUAAAUGGCCGGGGGCAUUUAAUAGGGAUCUCUAGUUUAUACCGAUUAGCUGUGAAGUGAAAUGACUCCACAAAGCUCACUGAACGCCGAGUCUUCAACUGAAAUCACAGUUUAUUUUGCCUCCAUUUAGCGGGCCGUAAUCGUUUAAAAUAAUAUUUAGACCCGAGAUUACAAAGCGGUUGGCUUUAAUGCUUCCGUUUCAUUUUAAUCAUCUGCCACCGCCUCGCACCUCGUUGCAGCCACCUCUGCAAAAGAGACGCCGAGUGCAACGUGGACACACAUAGAGACAUUGGUUCCAUUGUUUACCGGGGCUAUAGAUCCCGGGGCAAUAAGGCGUGGCUAAUUGCUGCUGCGUGCGAGCCGAGUUCGGGUAGUCCAGCUCUCGGGAAGAGUCCCGUGUUGCUGCGAGAGCCGGAGGCAGAGACAGUAAUGAUUAUGGAAUUACCAUGGCAGAGAUGGUGAUGGCUAUCCUAAUGAUUUCAUGUUACUGUAAUUAGCAUUAUGAGCUGGCUUGGUG
ensembl:lncRNA